rnacentral:tRNA from 1 species
UGGAAUAUAGUUUAUGUUUAAAAUUUUAGUUUUGUAAAUUGAAGAUAAUUUGUUUUGUUUCAU